GAUUGCCUCAGUAACGGCGAGUGAAGCGGCAAAAGCUCAAAUUUUAAAGCUGGCACCUUCGGUGUCCGCGUUGUAAUUUUGUGAGGCAUCUCCGGGUAGGGCGCCGGCCUAAGUUCCUUGGAACAGGACGUCAUAGAGGGUGAGAAUCCCGUGCUUGGCUGGCUGUCCCCGUCCAUGUGAGGUGUCUUCGACGAGUCGAGUUGUUUGGGAAUGCAGCUCAAAAUGGGUGGUAAAUUUCAUCUAAAGCUAAAUAUUGGUGGGAGACCGAUAGCGCACAAGUAGAGUGAUCGAAAGAUGAAAAGCACUUUGAAAAUAGAGUUAAAAAGUACGUGAAAUUGUUGAAAGGGAAGCGCUUGAGACCAGACUUCGGUGGGGAGUGAUCAGCUGUCCUUCUGGGCGGUGCACUUGCUCUCCUCCGGGCCAGCAUCGGUUGGGACGGCGGGAUAAAGGUCCCGGGAAUGUGGCUCCUCUCGGGGAGUGUUAUAGCCCGGGUGAAUGCCGCCAGCCCCGACCGAGGACCGCGCCUUCGGGCUAGGAUG
rnacentral:rRNA from 1 species